AGAACGAACGCUGGCGGCAUGCCUAACACAUGCAAGUCGAACGCGUGACUUCGGUCACGAGUGGCGCACGGGUGAGUAGCGCGUGGGAACCUGCCCUUUGGUUCGGAAUAACCUCGGGAAACUGUGGCUAAUACCGAAUGUACCCUACGGGGGAAAGAUUUAUCGCCAAAGGAGGGGCCCGCGUCCGAUUAGGUAGUUGGUGAGGUAACGGCUCACCAAGCCUGUGAUCGGUAGCUGGUCUGAGAGGAUGAUCAGCCACACUGGGACUGAGACACGGCCCAGACUCCUACGGGAGGCAGCAGUGGGGAAUAUUGGACAAUGGGGGCAACCCUGAUCCAGCAAUGCCGCGUGAGUGAUGAAGGCCUUCGGGUUGUAAAGCUCUUUCGCCCACGACGAUGGUGACGGUAGUGGGAGAAGAAGCCCGGCUAACUUCGUGCCAGCAGCCGC
rnacentral:rRNA from 1 species